rnacentral:rRNA from 1 species
UACGUAGGGGGCAAGCGUUGUCCGGAUUUAUUGGGCGUAAAGAGCGUGUAGGCGGCCAAGCAGGUCAGCUGUGAAAACUCGAGGCUCAACCUCGAGACGUCGGUUGAAACCGCUUGGCUAGAGUCCGGAAGAGGAGAGUGGAAUUCCCGGUGUAGCGGUGAAAUGCGCAGAUAUCAGGAAGAACACCCGUGGCGAAAGCGGCUCUCUGGAACGGUACUGACGCUGAGACGCGAAAGCGUGGGGGAGCGAACAGG